UCAUAGCCUCUUGCUUAAACCCUAACUUUUUUCCACCGCAUCUGGCGAUCAUCUGGUGAUCUCUUCAGCUCUUAUCCUUCGAUCUCCUGUGGAUUAAAGCUGGGGUUUUCAGAAAUUGAGGGAUAUUCAACCAAUACUUGCCUUCUCAGUGCUGGCUGUGGUGGUUAAGGAUUUGGAUUUCCCUUAUGAUGGUUCUCAAUUGGUGGAUAUCUUGUUGCCAAUAUAU